AUCCAGUGAUGAGUCUCAAAUAGGACGAAAUACGCAUCCUGGAU
rnacentral:hammerhead_ribozyme from 1 species